rnacentral:snRNA from 1 species
CCAGCUCUCUUUGCCUUUUGGCUUAGAUCAAGUGUAGUAUCUGUUCUUAUAAGUUUAACCGCUUAUAUGCCGCUACGGCGGUGUUUCGAUUAUACUCAUUUUUGAUCCGCGUCUGAUGAGUCCCUGGGCUUGCUCACACUCAUCGGUCACUGUGUCGCUUCUAUUCGCACUAUCUGAAGCUGACGCGACUUUUU